rfam:Salmo salar isolate Sally breed double haploid chromosome ssa08, whole genome shotgun sequence.
AGUGUAUAGGAGAGUAAGUCGCUCUGGAUAAGAGCGUCUGCUAAAUGAUGUAAA